AUUGAACGCUGGCGGCAGGCCUAACACAUGCAAGUCGAGCGAGCGGCGGACGGGUGAGUAAUGUAUGGGGACUGCCCGAUAGAGGGGGAUCACUACUGGAAACGGUAGCUAAUACCGCAUACUAUCGGAUACCCCUUAGGGGAUUAGCUAGUUGGUGAGGUAAUGGCCUACCAAGGCGACGAUCCCUAGCUGGUCUGAGAGGUUGAUCAGCCACACUGGGACUGAGACACGGCCCAGACUCCUACGGAGGCAGCAGUGGGGAAUAUUGCGCAAUGGGCGCAAGCCUGAUGCAGCCAUGCCGCGUGUAUGAAGAAGGCCUUAGGGUUGUAAAGUACUUUCAGUCGGGAGGCGUUACCGACAGAAGAAGCACCGGCUAACUCCGUGCCAGCAGCCGCGGUAAUUC
rnacentral:rRNA from 1 species